GAUGAACGCUGGCGGCGUGCCUAAUACAUGCAAGUCGAGCGAACAGACGAGGAGCUUGCUCCUCUGACGUUAGCGGCGGACGGGUGAGUAACACGUGGAUAACCUACCUAUAAGACUGGGAUAACUUCGGGAAACCGGAGCUAAUACCGGAUAAUAUAUUGAACCGCUUGGUUCAAUAGUGAGAGACGGUUUUGCUGUCACUUAUAGAUGGAUCCGCGCCGCAUUAGCUAGUUGGUAAGGUAACGGCUUACCAAGGCAACGAUGCGUAGCCGACCUGAGAGGGGGGUCGGCGACACUGGAGCUGAGACACGGCCCAGACUCCUACGGGAGGCAGCAGUAGGGAAGCUUCCGCAAUGGGCGAAAGCCUGACGGAGCAACGCCGCGUGGGUGAUGAAGGUCUUCGGAUCGUAAAACUCUGUUAUUGGGGAAGAACAAAUGUGUAAGUAACUAUGCACGUCUUGACGGUACCUAAUCAGAAAGCCACGGCUAACUACGUG
rnacentral:rRNA from 1 species